GUCUUUUUGAGUAUAAUUUAAAGUCGAAUCUGCCCACUGAUUAUUAAUUAAAGGGCUGCAGUAUUUUGACUGUACAAAGGUAGCAUAAUAAUUAGUCUUUUAAUUGAAGACUUGUAUGAAAGAUUUGAUGAGAUAUAAACUGUCUCUUUUUUAUAAUUAGAAUUUAAUUUUUCAGUAAAAAAGCUGAAAUUAUUUUAAAAGACGAGAAGACCCUAUAGAGUUUUAUAAUUAAAUUAGUUAUAUAUUUUUAUUUAAAUUAAAAGUUAAUUGAUUUAAUUAUUUUGUUGGGGUGAUAAAAAAAUUAAAUUAACUUUUUUUUUAAAAUUGAACAUUAAUUUAUGAAUAAUUGAUCCAUAAUUUAUGAUUAAAAGAAAAAAUUACCUUAGGGAUAACAGCGUAAUUUUUUUUUUUAGUUCUUAUAAAAAAAAAAGUUUGCGACCUCGAUGUUGGAUUAAGAUAAAAUUUAAAUGCAGAAGUUUAAAAUUUUGAUCUGUUCGAUCAUUAAAAUCUUACA
rnacentral:rRNA from 1 species